GCUCCUGGGAGCGACCAGGCCCAGGACAGAGGCUCUGGGAAGCGGGGCCAGGGUCUCUGCUCCUGUCUGAUCCCGCUGCUCCAGCCACACAGCGAUGGGCCUGUUCCCCACAUCAUGGUCACAGACCACCCUCGGACUUUCCAUCAAGCUGCUCAGGGCCUCCCCCAGUCCUUGAAGGGCUCGGGGGCUUGGGGUGAACGCUGGCAGGCACUGGGGUGUAUGUGGGCACACCUCCUGUAGAACCCCCUCACCCCACUGACAGUCUAGGGGAAUUUGGACAAGUAACUUUACCUCUACCGUCACAUUCAUCUCCUCUCUGAGUGAGGACACUUAUGGGCUGUAAUAAAUAGUAAGUGUGUCUCAGGUGCCUAAGAUUAGCCCAAGUACAGGGCAGUCACUUGAGUGCCCAGCUGGCUGUCAUUCUCACGGCCCAGCGCAACCCCAGGCCCGUGGCAGCCACCUCCAUGUUUGCUGCAUUGGCUCAUUGAUCAGCUGAUUGACUAGGAAGGGUGGCAGUAAACCCAUGAUCAUUCCUCUCCUGUUCCCAUUUCAGAGAACAAUCUGGUUGUUGGAGGUGACAGAAGAAGGGAAAUAUGAAAUUCAUGAUUAAAGGAGAGAUAAGGAAGGGUAGCAGGAGGGAGCAGAGGGAGGUAGGAAAUCAUGGGGACAGAAAGUCAUGGGCACCACCGUGGCUGCCUCUUGAAAGAGUGGGAUGACAGGCAUUGCUUCCUGGACUCAGUUACGAAAUCUGAGGGCUGGGAACGGCCCAGAGACCCUGGACGCCUUCUUAACAGUGAAGUAAAGGGAUCACGGUCCCGGGGGUGGUGAGGUGGGGGGCCUGCAGAGCUGAGGACAGAAUUGAGUUUUGGGGUUGGGGACAUAAUCCCAGAAGCAGUGGCCUGAGUCCCCAUGUCACCCUGACUGACCCCUUUCUUUUCCCAAGACAAGGUCGACACCAUCCACGUCACAGUCCACAAAGAAGACUAUUUUGGAGACUGCGAGGACUCUGACCAAGAGGUCCACAAUCCGUCAUCCAAGAAGUCCCACCAAGACCCCGUCUGAGCUGCCUGGUCCUUGAAAACCAAAGCUUUCCAUCCCGGGUGGUGCCCACAGAGGCCGCGUGGGCCUUGCUGCUUUGCAGCUUCUGGAGUCCAUGAGGACACGCUUGAGGCCACCGUUCCUGAAAUCUUCCUAGAAGCCUCUUCAUGAUCUUCAACUGUGGGAAGAUUUUUCUAUCACAGACACAUCAGAGAAAAACUGCCCUUACGCAUCAUUGGAAGGGACCCUCUCAGUGGUCAUAGUGCUGGCCUUUUGCCUUCGAUCCAGGGUCUUUUUUUUUUUUUUAAAGAUUUUAUUUAUUUAUUCUUGAGAGACAGAGAG